UACGAAGGGGGCUAGCGUUGCUCGGAAUCACUGGGCGUAAAGCGCACGUAGGCGGCUUGUUAAGUCAGGGGUGAAAUCCUGGAGCUCAACUCCAGAACUGCCUUUGAUACUGGCGAUCUCGAGUCCGGGAGAGGUGAGUGGAACUGCGAGUGUAGAGGUGAAAUUCGUAGAUAUUCGCAAGAACACCAGUGGCGAAGGCGGCUCACUGGCCCGGUACUGACGCUGAGGAGCGAAAGCGUGGGGAGCGAACAGG
rnacentral:rRNA from 1 species